rnacentral:rRNA from 1 species
CUAGCCGUAAACGAUGGAUACUAGGCGUUGUGAGUAUCGACCCUCACAGUGUCGUAGCUAACGCGUUAAGUAUCCCGCCUGGGGAGUACGCGCGCAAGCGUGAAACUCAAAGGAAUUGACGGGGGCCCGCACAAGCGGUGGAGUAUGUGGUUUAAUUCGAUGCAACGCGAAGAACCUUACCAGGACUUGACAUGUCGCGAAUCUCAGGGAGACUUGAGAGUGCCUUCGGGAGCGCGAACACAGGUGGUGC